CUUUUUCUCAUCCAUUUAUUUCAGUCGUACAAGAUGGCGGAUAAAAAACUAUUCCACGUCCCAUCUACAAGUGAACUUUGACUUUAAGCCUCAGCAACCCCCAUAGGCUACUGGACUAAUGUAUACAAAAUUCGUAUCUUAUUCUUGUUUCUCGAUUACCGCCGAUUAUCUUCCCUUCGGAGGAUGUUGGGUGUCAGUUGUUAUUGUUAUGGUUGCCUUCAGCAGCAAGCCUUGCUUCAUGAUGAUUUGCUAUCUUCCACAAACUGGCCAUGAAGAUCUGCAUCUAGCUACACCAUUUGUUGGGAACCUUAUUGAGAAACCAACUGCCUGCACAUUCCACAGAAAAAAGUUGGUUGAUUGUAGAGACUCUUAAGUUCAUGUGAUAAAAAGUUUAUUUUAUUUUUGUUGUUUUGCAUGGGAUUUGACAAUGCCGGAGCCGUUCAAGCUUUUUAAUCGUCUGUCGGUCUGUGUAAAUCAUCAAUUCGGGGAGCAAUUCGAAUUUUGAUUGUACUUUUAUCGGACGUACUGUAUGAUGGUCGAGAUGCCCUUGGAGCGCCUUCCUCUUAGGGACAUUUGUCCUAGAUAUGCAAAGCACAAGGGUAAACUCAAAUCUUCUAGAAGCGUCUUCUCAAGAGCUGUCAACUCCUCACAGAAAUUACACUAUCGCGAAGGUGUAUGUUUAUGAAUUCCUUGACAUGAUUUGUCGUGAUCGUAAAUCACCGUGGGAAGCCUCGAUUAAACUGGCAUCAUUUAUUUUCCAACGUCGCCCUUUAGGUCACAUGUGUCGGGAUGAAGAGGGCUAGCCUUGAGGAAAAGAAU
rnacentral:lncRNA from 1 species